CUCCCUGAUGUUAGCGGCGGACGGGUGAGUAACACGUGGGUAACCUGCCUGUAAGACUGGGAUAACUCCGGGAAACCGGGGCUAAUACCGGAUGGUUGUUUGAACCGCAUGGUUCAGACAUAAAAGGUGGCUUCGGCUACCACUUACAGAUGGACCCGCGGCGCAUUAGCUAGUUGGUGAGGUAACGGCUCACCAAGGCGACGAUGCGUAGCCGACCUGAGAGGGUGAUCGGCCACACUGGGACUGAGACACGGCCCAGACUCCUACGGGAGGCAGCAGUAGGGAAUCUUCCGCAAUGGACGAAAGUCUGACGGAGCAACGCCGCGUGAGUGAUGAAGGUUUUCGGAUCGUAAAGCUCUGUUGUUAGGGAAGAACAAGUGCCGUUCAAAUAGGGCGGCACCUUGACGGUACCUAACCAGAAAGCCACGGCUAACUACGUGCCAGCAGCCGCGGUAAUACGUAGGUGGCAAGCGUUGUCCGGAAUUAUUGGGCGUAAAGGGCUCGCAGGCGGUUUCUUAAGUCUGAUGUGAAAGCCCCCGGCUCAACCGGGGAGGGUCAUUGGAAACUGGGGAACUUGAGUGCAGAAGAGGAGAGUGGAAUUCCACGUGUAGCGGUGAAAU
rnacentral:rRNA from 1 species